rnacentral:rRNA from 1 species
GACGAACGCUGGCGGCGUGCUUAACACAUGCAAGUCGAACGGAAAGGCCCUGCUUUUGUGGGGUUCCCGAGUGGCGGACGCGUGAGUAACACGUGAGUAACCUGCCCUUGACUUUGGGAUAACUUCAGGAAACUGGGGCUAAUACCGUAUAGCAGCUCCUGCUGCAGUGUGGGGGUUGGAAAGUUUCGGCGGUUGGGGAUGGACUCGCGGCUUAUCAGCUUGUUGGUGGGGUAGUGGCUUACCAAGCCUUUGACGGGUAGGCGGCCUGUGAGGGUGACCGGCCACAUGGCGACUGAGAUAGGGCGCAGUCUGCAACGGGGGGCAGUAGUGGGGAAUAUGACACAGUCGGAGGACGCCUGAGGCAGCGACCCCGCGUGCGUGAUGACGGCCUUCUGGUUGUAAACCGCUGUCGGCUGUUACGAAGCGUGAGUGACGGUAAUGGGUAAAGAAGCACCGGCUAACUACGUG